UUUUGCGUCCUGCCUGUACAUUCCGAAGUUCUGUGAAAAGAGGCACUAGCGCUCAGCCACGCAAGGCAGGAAAAGAGAGGAAGUUUUCGCAUUCUGAUUGCAGCCUGAGUUCCCCGUAGCAAGGCUGCUUCUCUCCACCCACUCCUCACCAAGAACUCCUGAACUUGAGGGUGGACGACUUCAAAGCUAGCUCCCACAGACUCACCUGAAAAAGAGUUCAGCUGCGCGUUCAUUGAACCUGAUCACCUAUGUGAGGCGGUGGGAACCAUAUGGAGAUUUAUAUUAGAACUUCAGCAAAGUGCACAGCUGCAGCCGGCCGAAGCCAGCUCUCGGGCUGACAGGCAAAUGAACCAGAUCCUGGACGGGGCCUCUGGGUGGCAGCUCCGGCCUUUUGGUUGUUGGACAACUAUAGUCAGAACUGAAGUGGAACAGGGGCAGGAGAAAUAAUACACUUUUACUCCACGCAACUGUUGCUUUCACAUGAUCUUCAGGAAUGUAACUGGGAUAAUUGUCCAAAUCAAAUCCCAUGCCCUGUCAUGGUGAGUAGAACCAUUUAAAAUGCCAUUUUUUUUCGUGUUUAUCUGUAAUUUUUUCCCAUUGGUAAUCACAGUUUUCUGGUGAUUGGUAUAGGAAAUUCA
rnacentral:lncRNA from 1 species